rnacentral:rRNA from 1 species
GACGAACGCUGGCGGCGUGCUUAACACAUGCAAGUCGAGCGGUAAGGCCCCUUCGGGGGUACACGAGCGGCGAACGGGUGAGUAACACGUGAGCAAUCUGCCCUUCACACGGGGAUAACUCCGGGAAACCGAAGCUAAUACCCGAUACGACCACUUCAGGCAUCUGAUGGUGGUGGAAAGUUCCGGCGGUGAAGGAUGAGCUCGCGGCCUAUCAGCUUGUUGGUGGGGUAACGGCCCACCAAGGCAACGACGGGUAGCCGGCCUGAGAGGGUGACCGGCCACACUGGGACUGAGACACGGCCCAGACUCCUACGGGAGGCAGCAGUGGGGAAUAUUGGACAAUGGGCGAAAGCCUGAUCCAGCAACGCCGCGUGAGGGAUGACGGCCUUCGGGUUGUAAACCUCUUUCAGCAGGGACGAAGCGCGAGUGACGGUACCUGCAGAAGAAGCACCGGCCAACUACGUGCCAGCAGCCGCGGUAA